UACGGGGGAGCAAGCGUUGUUCGGAUUUACUGGGCGUAAAGGGCGCGUAGGCGGCCACCGCAAGUCGACUGUGAAAUCUCCGGGCUUAACCCGGAAAGGUCAGCUGAUACUGCGGGGCUAGAGUGCAGAAGGGGCAAGCUGGAAUUCUCGGUGUAGCGGUGAAAUGCGUAGAUAUCGAGAGGAACACCUGCGGCGAAGGCGGGUUGCUGGGCUGACACUGACGCUGAUGCGCGAAAGCUAGGGGAGCAAACGGG
rnacentral:rRNA from 1 species